rnacentral:rRNA from 1 species
GACGAUCAGUAGCCGGCCUGAGAGGGUGAACGGCCACACUGGGACUGAGACACGGCCCAGACUCCUACGGGAGGCAGCAGUGGGGAAUAUUGCGCAAUGGGGGAAACCCUGACGCAGCGACGCCGCGUGAGCGAUGAAGGCCUUAGGGUCGUAAAGCUCUGUUUUAAGGGACGAAUGUCUAGACGAGUAAUAUGCGUUUAGAAUGACGGUACCUUAAGAGGAAGCCCCGGCUAACUACGUGCCAGCAGCCGCGGUAAGACGUAGGGGGCGAGCGUUGUCCGGAAUUACUGGGCGUAAAGAGCACGUAGGCGGAGAUUUAAGUCAGAUGUGAAAGACCGGGGCUCAACCCCGGGAUUGCAUUUGAAACUGGAUCCCUUGAGGGCAGGAGAGGAAAGCAGAAUUCCUGGUGUAGCGGUGAAAUGCGUAGAAAUCAGGAGGAAUACCAGUGGCGAAGGCGGCUUUCUGGACUGUCCCUGACGCUGAGGUGCGAAAGCGUGGGUAGCAAACAGGAUUAGAUACCCUGGUAGUCCACGCCGUAAACGAUGGAUACUAGGUGUGGGAGGUAUCGACCCCUUCCGUGCCGCAGCUAACGCAAUAAGUAUCCCGCCUGGGGAGUACGAUCGCAAGGUUGAAACUCAAAGGAAUUGACGGGGGCCCGCACAAGCGGUGGAGCAUGUGGUUUAAUUCGAUUCAACGCGGAGAACCUUACCAGGUCUUGACAUCUGUAGAACCUCGAUGAAAGUUGAGGGUGCCUUCGGGAGCUACAAGACAGGUGGUGCAUGGUUGUCGUCAGCUCGUGUCGUGAGAUGUUGGGUUAAGUCCCGCAACGAGCGCAACCCUUGCUAUUAGUUGCUAACGGUUCGGCCGAGCACUCUAAUGGGACUGCCUGUGACAAGCAGGAGGAAGGUGGGGAUGACGUCAAAUCAUCAUGCCCUUUAUGACCUGGGCUACACACGUGCUACAAUGGAUGGUACAGAGAGCAGCAAGACCGCGAGGUGGAGCGAAUCUCAAAAAGCCAUUCUCAGUUCGGAUUGGAGUCUGCAACUCGACUCCAUGAAGUCGGAAUCGCUAGUAAUCGCGAAUCAGAAUGUCGCGGUGAAUGCGUUCCCGGGCCUUGUACACACCGCCCGUCACACCACGAAAGUCGGCAACACCCGAAGCCGGUGAGCUAACCGCAAGGAGGCAACCGUCGAAGGUGGGGUUGGUAAUUGGGGUGAAGUCGAAACAAGGUA